rnacentral:rRNA from 1 species
UUCCGGUUGAUCCUGCCGGAGGCUACCGCUAUUGGAGUCCGAUUAAGACAUGCGAGUCGAGAGCUUUCGGAGCUCGGCAUACUGCUCAGUAACACGUGGGUAACCUGCCCUGUGCUGGGGGAUAACCUCGGGAAACUGAGAACAAUACCCCAUAGUCCACUACGCCUGGAACGGUGAGUGGAUGAAAGCCCCGGCGGCACAGGAUGGGCCUGCGGCGUAUCAGGUAGUAGGGGGUGUAAAGUACCCUCUAGCCUUCGACGCGUACGGGUUGUGAGAGCAAUAGCCCGGAGAUGGAUUCUGAGACAAGAAUCCAGGUCCUACGGGACGCAGCAGUCGCGAAACCUUGACAAUGCGGGAAACCGUGAUCAGGGGACUCCAAGUGCCAGGAGUAAGAUCCUGUGCUUUUCUUUUCUCUUCAAAGGAUUUGGAAUAAGAGGUGGGUAAGGACGGUGCCAGCCGCCGCGGUAAUACCGGCGCCUCGAGUGGUAGUCGAUUUUAUUGGGCCUAAAACGUCCGUCGCCGGUCUGGUGCAUUCGUGGGUAAAUCAACCCGCUCAACGGGUUGAAUUCUGCGAGCACGGCCAGACUAGGGACCGGGAGAGGUGUGGGGUACGCUCGGGGUAGGGGUAAAAUCCUGUCAUCCCGAGCGGACCACCUGUUGCGAAGGCUCCACACUAGAACGGAUCCGACGGUCAGGGACGAAGCCUAGGGGCACGAACCGGAUUAGAUACCCGGGUAGUCCUAGGUGUAAACGCUGUGGACUUGGUGUUGGGAGCUCCCAGAGGGCUCUCAGUGCCGUAGCGAAGGUGAUAAGUCCACUGCCUGGGGAGUACGGUCGCAAGGCUGAAACUUAAAGGAAUUGGCGGGGGAACACCGCAACCUGAGGAUUGUGCGGUUUAAUUGGAUUCAACGCCGGG